GGAAUUGAGGCUUAAUUUGAGACCUAACUGGCAGCAGGUGGGGGUGUGAGCUCACGGAGUGUCCUAGAAAAACAGAAUCAUUUUCAAAGGUGCUUAGGACUGCAAGAAAGGUGUAUUUGUGAUGCCUAAGAAGAAAGCAUGCAGCAACCUGGUAGUAGAGAACCCUUGCAAGUAAACCUGAAGAGUUAAGGACUCAAGAGUGGAAUCGCAGUCUGUUCACUGAAUGUUGCUGAAUGGCUGAGUUGCAAGUAUUGCAUCUUGGCAAGGCGAUGGUGGAGAGCUGCAGCUACUUUGCAUUUAGUCUUGAAGAAAAGUAGAAACUACUGGAAUCCACUGGAAUGACUAGUCUGGAAAUCUAUUUAUUUUCAAGACAGUAAUUUACAAGCUCUCAUACACUUACAUUUUCUAUGUUGUUAAGUACAGAUCUGGUUUGUUUCUUUCCCAGUUAAAAUGGAAAUUUCUCUAGAAGCUGUCCUAACCUGUAGGCCGUAGGACCCUACUUAGAGCUCUGAUUUCUUUGGAUUGCAUGUACCAGAGGCUGAUUCUCUCAGAGGUGUUGGUGCCUGCUGGAGAGCUCUAGCAGGUGUAGAAGGUAGAUGCAGCAAAGCUUUCAAGCAUGGAGAAUUUUUUGCUUGUUUUUUCCAUAUGGCAAAGGUUCUGAAACUAAAAUCUACUUGUCUUCAGUUGCCCUUCGUAGUCUACAGAAAAUGUAAGCACUUUCUUGUUGGGUUAAUACCUGCCUCUCUGUAUGGUUCCAGAACAGUGACUGAAAGCAACAGUAUCUUGAGGGAGUCCUAACUCAGUAAGAGUAUUAUAUUGAGAUUCCCUGGUGUGAUUUUGAGCCUUUGCAAAAUAUUCUUUAAUAAGAGAUCUGGUGAGCACUUCUCAGGGCAAUGUAGAUAAGAAUCCAGUUCUAACCCUCUCAGGUCCUUGUGUCAGGACUCCCAAAUGGGAGAGUUCCUUUUUACUUUUUGUUUAGUAAAGCAUGGAAUCAAACUACAAAGCUUGCAUCAGGAAUGCCAUAGGAUGCUCUAGUUGUUCUGCAUCCUUUUAUUCUCUUAGAAAGGAAAACAAACUACUACAGAGUCUGAGCUAAAUGCCUUUUACCUAGGGACUGUGAUAAGAGAUGCAGAUGCACUGCUAGCCAGGGAUGCAAGCAUUGUUUCUAUCUUGAGCAUCUCUUGUUUUUAUUGUUAGAAUCACACUUCAGUUGUGACUUUAGACCUUUGUUUGGAAGGAAAAGGUGGUGUAACAUACAGGAUGAACUCUGAGCUGGAGACUGACAAACUGAGCUGUUAAAUGCUGACUGCUGGUUCUGGCAGACAGGCUUAUUCAAGUUUCAGAAUGUUGGCUGUAAAGCAGAAUAUGCUAAACUUUAUAGGACCUGAAUAGCAAAGAACGUAAUAAAGCACUUGUCAGAAAAUGAAGGGAGAAUGAGUACAAAUUACUUAAUUAGUGAUAAAAUGUCUAUUAUCUGAUAGAAACAAUGAACUGAGCAAAAUAUGAAAGUCCUGUCUCUUGUGCACUGAAUGACAAUUCUUUUCUUGUCAGUGGAUUAAUGAAUCAUUAAUUCAUAAGCAAAUAAAAUCUUUAUUUUAU
rnacentral:lncRNA from 7 species